ACCACCACGUUGAUAGGACAGGUGUGGAAGAGCAGCAAUGCUUGAAGCUUACUGUUACUAAUAGCUCGAUCGGCUUGAUCGU
rnacentral:rRNA from 1 species